rnacentral:rRNA from 1 species
AUUGAACGCUGGCGGCAUGCCUUACACAUGCAAGUCGAACGGCAGCACGGGGCAACCUGGUGGCGAGUGGCGAACGGGUGAGUAAUGCAUCGGAACGUACCUUUCAGUGGGGGAUAACGUCGCGAAAGUUACGCUAAUACCGCACAUUCUGUGAGCAGGAAAGCAGGGGAUCGCAAGACCUUGCUCUGAUUGAGCGGCCGACGUCAGAUUAGGUAGUGGGUGAGGUAAAGGCUCACCAAGGCGACGGUCUGUAGCGGGGCUGAGAGGAUGAUCCGCCACACUGGAACUGAGACACGGUCCAGACUCCUACGGGAGGCAGCAGUGGGGAAUUUUGGACAAUGGGGCAACCCUGAUCCAGCCAUGCCGCGUGAGUGAAGAAGGCCUUCGGGUUGUAAAGCUCUUUCGGCCGGGAAGAAAUCGCACGGGCUAAUACCCUGUGUGGAUGACGGUACCGGAAUAAGAAGCACCGGCUAACUACGUGCCAGCCGCCGCCGUAAUAC